rnacentral:lncRNA from 1 species
UACCAGUGUGAAAAUGAACUAACACAGUAAGCUUUGCUAUCUAAUAAGAAAAAUUUUGUUCCCCAUCCCAGCUUUCUCCCUUACCACACAUAUGGCCACUUCCUUUAAAUUUGUCUGGGAAUUUUUUCACUCUUUACUCUUACAUAUGGCUUUAGGAUCAGCUUGUCCAAUUCUGAAAAAAGUCUUGUUAGGACUUUUAUUAGACUAACAAUGAAAGUGCAGAAGUGAUAUGUCUUCUUUAUAAUAUUAAAUCUUCCUGCCAAUGAACUGGUUUUUAUAUAUCUUUCUAAAUAUUUCAGUAAAGUUUUUUUUUUUAAAUUUUGUUGUAUCUGCAAAUGUCUGUUACAAAUAUCAAGUUUAGUGUUUUUUAAAAUUACAUUUUAUAAUUAAUAGUUCCUAGGAAAUAAGAACAGUAUUCAUUUUUAUAUUGAUCUAUGCAGUCACCAUUAGAACUGUCCUAUUUCUCAGUAGCUUUUCUGUAGCUCCACUGGAAAUUUUUGUGUCAACAAAAUUUUGUCUAUAAUAACAGCAAAAUAAAAUAACAGCAAUUUUGUUUCUGUCUUUUUAAGUCUUAUACAUUUUAUUUAUUUUUCUUAUUUUACUGCACUGAUUUAAAAUCUUUUUUUUUCAAUGUUGAAUAGAAGCAGUGAUGAAAGCAAGGAAAAUUUUAUUCCUAACUUCAGAGGGAAUAUAUGCAAUGUUGCACUCUUCAGAGACAGAGCACUACGGAAGGGAGCCCCAUUCCCAAGCAUGGUGUCCAAUACACUGAAAGAAUAACUGGGCUCAGUAAUGCACCUAGAGACUCAGAUUCCAGACCUGCCCACUUGCUUUACUAUCCAAAACAACCAUGACACAUGACUUCUCUGGCGGGGUGUUGGCCAAGACAAACUGAACUAUAGAAGAUCCUUGACUUGCCAACGUUCAAAUGAUGAACUUUCAAAAAUAGCGAAACUGGCUGCAGAGCAAAAGCUUUUCAGCUCUGCACAACACCAACAGAUGGCGCUAAGUGUCACCCUUGUGGAGAGCAGAGGGACCUCGGAAGGGCCUUUGGAAAUCUAAUCUGGUUUUGAGUUCUUGGUGGGAAAAUGCACCUUUAAGUUGGGGGAGUUUGAAGACGUUGCCAAGACACGUGCUGCAGCAUUUGAUCUUUUCUGCCGCACUGGCUUCUGCAAUUAACAUGCUUUCACCAGUGAAACUCAGGUUGCGGGGAGAGCAUUCUUCCAGGUUCAUGCCUGUUGUCAUGGAGUAAUUAUAAUUCAUGUCUCCGUUCACAGUGUCCUGGUUUGUAGAAUAAAAUAUCUGGUCCACCCA